AGAGUUUGUUCCUGGCUCAGGAUGAACGCUAGCGACAGGCUUAACACAUGCAAGUCGAGGGGCAGCGGGGUUGUAGCAAUACAACUGCCGGCGACCGGCGCACGGGUGAGUAACACGUAUGUAACCUGCCCUCUGCAGGGGGAUAAGCGGAAGAAAUUCCGUCUAAUACCGCAUAAUACAAUUUGGAGACAUCUCCGGGUUGUCAAAGGAGUGAUCCGGCAGAGGAUGGACAUGCGGCGCAUUAGCUAGUCGGCGGGGUAACGGCCCACCGAGGCUACGAUGCGUAGGGGUUCUGAGAGGAAGGUCCCCCACACUGGUACUGAGACACGGACCAGACUCCUACGGGAGGCAGCAGUGAGGAAUAUUGGUCAAUGGGCGGAAGCCUGAACCAGCCAAGUCGCGUGAGGGAAGACGGUCCUAUGGAUUGUAAACCUCUUUUGCAGGGGAGCAAGGCGCGGUACGUGUACCGCGAAGGAGAGUACCCUGAGAAAAAGCAUCGGCUAACUCCGUGCCAGCAGCCGCGGUAAUACGGAGGAUGCGAGCGUUAUCCGGAUUUAUUGGGUUUAAAGGGUGCGCAGGCGGACUGUUAAGUCAGCGGUAAAAUGUCGGUGCUCAACACCGGCCGGCCGUUGAAACUGACAGCCUUGAGUGAGCGAGAAGUAUUCCGGAAUGCGUGGUGUAGCGGUGAAAAGCAUAGAUUUCACGCAGAACUCCGGAUGGGGAAGGCAGCAUACCGGCGCUCAAAUGACGGUCAGGGCAAGAAAGCGUGGGUAUCGAACAGGAUUAGAUACCCUGGUAGUCCACGCAGUAAACGAAUGAAUGCUCACUGUCCGGGCCGAUUAAGGCAUGGGUGGUCAAGCGAAAGCGUUAAGCAUUCCACCUGGGGAGUACGCCGGCAACGGUGAAACUCAAAGGAAUUGACGGGGGCCCGCACAAGCGGAGGAACAUGUGGUUUAAUUCGAUGAUACGCGAGGAACCUUACCCGGGCUCAAACGGAAGGGGACAGUAUGAGAAAUCAUACAUUCCUUCGGGACCGCUUCCGAGGUGCUGCAUGGUUGUCGUCAGCUCGUGCCGUGAGGUGUCGGCUUAAGUGCCAUAACGAGCGCAACCCCUAUCGACAGUUGCUAGCAGGUAAAGCUGAGGACUCUGUCGAGACUGCCGGCGCAAGCUGUGAGGAAGGCGGGGAUGACGUCAAAUCAGCACGGCCCUUACGUCCGGGGCGACACACGUGUUACAAUGGCAGGUACAGCGGGAAGCCACCCGGCGACGGGGCGCAGAACCCGAAAACCUGUCUCAGUUCGGAUUGGAGUCUGCAACCCGACUCCAUGAAGCUGGAUUCGCUAGUAAUCGCGCAUCAGCCACGGCGCGGUGAAUACGAAGCCGGGCCUUGUACACACCGCCCGUCA
rnacentral:rRNA from 1 species